CACGUUAUAUACAGUCGAGCGGCACACGGGGUACUUGCUCCCUGGUGGCGAGCGGCGGACGGGUGAGUAAUGCAUAGGAAUCUGCCCGGUAGUGGGGGAUAACGUGGGGAAACCCACGCUAAUACCGCAUACGUCCUACGGGAGAAAGCGGAGGCUCUUCGGACUUCGCGCUAUCGGAUGAGCCUAUGUCGGAUUAGCUAGUUGGUAAGGUAACGGCUUACCAAGGCGACGAUCCGUAGCUGGUCUGAGAGGAUGAUCAGCCACACUGGGACUGAGACACGGCCCAGACUCCUACGGGAGGCAGCAGUGGGGAAUAUUGGACAAUGGGCGAAAGCCUGAUCCAGCCAUGCCGCGUGUGUGAAGAAGGCUUUCGGGUUGUAAAGCACUUUCAGCGAGGAAGAAAGCCUUUGGGUUAAUACCCCAGAGGAAGGACAUCACUCGCAGAAGAAGCACCGGCUAACUCCGUGCCAGCAGCCGCGGUAAUACGGAGGGUGCGAGCGUUAAUCGGAAUUACUGGGCGUAAAGCGCGCGUAGGUGGCUUGGCACGCCGGUUGUGAAAGCCCCGGGCUCAACCUGGGAACGGCAUCCGGAACGGCCAGGCUAGAGUGCAGGAGAGGAAGGUAGAAUUCCCGGUGUAGCGGUGAAAUGCGUAGAGAUCGGGAGGAAUACCAGUGGCGAAGGCGGCCUUCUGGCCUGACACUGACACUGAGGUGCGAAAGCGUGGGUAGCAAACAGGAUUAGAUACCCUGGUAGUCCACGCCGUAAACGAUGUCG
rnacentral:rRNA from 1 species